UUGGAGGGCAAGUCUGGUGCCAGCAGCCGCGGUAAUUCCAGCUCCAAUAGCGUAUAUUAAAGUUGUUGCAGUUAGAAAGCUCGUAGUUGAAUUUCGGGAUCAGUUGGUCGGUCGUGCCUCGGUACGUACUGGUCAAAUUGAUUCCUACCUUCUGACGAACCACGAUGUCAUUAAUUUGGUGUCGCGGGAAAUCAGGACUGUUACUUUGAAAAAAUUAGAGUGUUUAAAGCAGGCUCGCGCUUGAAUACAUUAGCAUGGAAUAAUGAAAUAGGACGUUUGAUUCUAUUUUGUUGGUUUCUAGGAUCGACGUAAUGAUUAAUAGGGAUAGUUGGGGGCAUUAGUAUUCAAUUGUCAGAGGUGAAAUUCUUGGAUUUAUUGAAGGCUAACUACUGCGAAAGCAUUUGCCGAGGAUGUUUUCAUUAAUCAAGAACGAAAGUUAGGGGAUCGAAGACGAUCAGAUACCGUCGUAGUCUUAACCAUAAACUAUGCCGACUAGGGAUCGGAUGAUGUUAAUUUUUUAAUGACUCAUUAGGCGCCUUACGGGAAACCAAAGUGUUUGGGUUC
rnacentral:rRNA from 1 species